CGAACGCUGGCGGCGCGCCUAACACAUGCAAGUCGAACGAGCGAGAGAGAGCUUGCUUUCUUGAGCGAGUGGCGAACGGGUGAGUAACGCGUGAGGAACCUGCCUCAAAGAGGGGGACAACAGUUGGAAACGACUGCUAAUACCGCAUAAGCCCACGACCCGGCAUCGGGUUGAGGGAAAAGGAGCAAUCCGCUUUGAGAUGGCCUCGCGUCCGAUUAGCUAGUUGGUGAGGUAACGGCCCACCAAGGCGACGAUCGGUAGCCGGACUGAGAGGUUGAACGGCCACAUUGGGACUGAGACACGGCCCAGACUCCUACGGGAGGCAGCAGUGGGGAAUAUUGCACAAUGGGGGAAACCCUGAUGCAGCGACGCCGCGUGGAGGAAGAAGGUCUUCGGAUUGUAAACUCCUGUUGUUGAGGAAGAUAAUGACGGUACUCAACAAGGAAGUGACGGCUAACUACGUG
rnacentral:rRNA from 1 species